AGAUUAUUGCAUAAUCAGAAUCUCCGUCCAAAAAUUAGUCGAAAUCCAAAAUUUCAUCAUUUUUGGUGCCCGAGAACUAUUUUUCAAAUGCAUUUAAAGUUUGCAUGGGGAAAAUUUUUUGUUCGGGGUGAACUGUCACUUUAUCGAUUGAACUGUCAUUCUAUCCACGGAAAUUGAAACUGUUUUGUUUAUUUAACUAUCAAAACAAAGGAAUUGGAACGCAAUAAAAUCACCUUAUACUCAGAAAAAUGAGCUCUUUCGAUUAGGCCAAACAAAAUGGCAAUAUUUAAUUCACUAAACAACCCAAUUAUAUGCGGUCAAACCAACGGGGGUAGACGGUAUCACGCGAUAAUGCGUUAUUAUAUUUGAUUUUCUUGAUUUUACCAAUUAUCAACCAUUACUUCCAUUACAUUGGAUUUUAAAUCGAUUUAAUCGGAUUUCCCCCAUUUUUCCAUUUAGGAUUAUUUUUAUCGCUUUUUAUUCUCAACAAAAUGGUCAAAAUCCGAAAUUAUCUGAAAAAAUCGGAUAAAAUGACGAUAUCCGCUCAAUACCGGUAGAAAUCGCUCAAACGGUUGAGACGUCGCGACGCCGUAACUUAACAGCUUUUCCAGGCGCCGUUUAUCAGCUGUAAUCAAAACAAAAACUUCUGUCGAGUUCAUAUUAAUUCGUAAUUCGUCGAAAAAUAAAGCACUUUGGCAGAAUGUUUAUUUGAACAAGGACUUAUGGAGAAGCCAAAGCCGGCUCCCGUUCCUAUCCGGCGCUGGAAAUGGGACAGCUGUGCAGUACAAGUGGACAGCAUCGCCAAAUACGUUGAUGAAGAUUGGCCAUAAAACGGGACCUUCCGGAAGCAAACUUUUCGGCACCGGCCACAACGACAAGUUUCUAAAGAAUCAUGAGCAACUCCGGCAUACGUCGAAACACCUCGACUUCGAAGGGAACAUUCAAAAGGGAAGUUCAGAACCACCAAUCAAUCCUCGGGCACUUAAGUUCUUUAACAAAUAUAAAAUGUAUUUCGUAGUUUUCCUUGUUUAAGUUUUUUUUAAAUGCAACAUAGAAUUCAAAAUAUAAUAUAUUAUUCAUCUCUA